rnacentral:rRNA from 1 species
UUCUACCGUCAUGCCACCCUCAAUGUGCCUGAUCUCGGAAGCUAAGCAGGGUUGAGCCUGGUUAGUAGUUGGAUGGGAGAAA